AUCUUGUCCAGCGUACCAAACAAAUGAUCUUGUAACUACUUUACCUUCGUCCUUAACAAUAAUCCAAGGUCUUAUAGCUGUCCUGCUGAGUCCGUACAAUGAUUGUGUUCCCCCAGAAUCUCGUUUUUAAGCGAGAGUAGGGCAGCUCAGUUCUCUCCCUUAUUGGUGCUAGGUCACCUGCCCAGAAAUGGUUCUCCUGUUUCAUUCAGUAUGAAGAUUGAUUUCGUGUAGUUUCACUAUUAGACAUGUUUUUUUAUAUGAUUUUUAUCAAUAAAAAUCCCCUGAAUUUCUGUUCGGAAUCUUCUGAAGAUCUGCCAUGGUUAAAAAAAUAUAUUAACGUCCUGUGUUGCAGCAUGCCUGUAUUAAGGAAGAAAAAGAAGUUGAGGGUUGUGUUCAUUUUAUUUCCUAGUUCGAUUAAAUACUCCGUAACUUAUGGUUCUUGUUCAAGUAGAAUAUUAAGCUUAAGUUCUAAUUGCAGCUUCACGGCAGUAUUUGAAGAUUAUCAUCACCGAGGUCGAAUGCAAGGUGUAUGCCAUGUUCAUGUGCAUUGGAUGAUUCGCGUGUAGAAAUCAGGCAUCCAUGAGCACUUGAAGUGAACUCAAUUUAUGCAGUGAUGUGAAUGAACACAAGAAGCAUCAUGAUUUUUGAUAUUCAAAAUCGUUCUUCAGAAAAGCUAUGAACAUCGAAAAUGAAAAGAUGCUGACAGUGAGUUCCAUAUCAGAUUUAAUCUGCCGGGUGAUAUUGACAAAAAAUUUCCCUUUUUAAGGACUUAAAACUUUCAAAUGAUAUGAUUCAAUUAGGUGGGUUAAUGUCUACCGCACUUGAAACUACAAGUGUUCAGUGUAAUAAAGAAAAGUAAAACUUCGAUCUGUGGUCGAAGGCUUAAGCAUGCUUGAGCACUCAAGAAAUAGAAUUUUCCUUUGUUUUAUUGGUUCUUGAGUCAUAAUAAACAUAUUCAAGGUGAGAAACAUAGUUCUCAUCAUCUUUUAAUUUGAUUGUUUAUUAAAUGAGAUGGGCUGGACAGACUCCGUCCAGGGCGCCGAAUGGAGGGGGCGCCAAAUUGCC
rnacentral:lncRNA from 1 species